AGAGAUAUGAACAAAUAUAUGUUAUAUUAUAUUAUAUUUGAUGAUAUUUACCGAGUUUUGAGAGCGAUAAGAAAUUUAUGGGUUAUGUAUUGUAUUAGUCCUCCGAGUUAGCAUAGUAUUUGAUUGAGAUCAUUGCAUUUCGAUUUUGUUUUAGUUGUGGUUUGGUUUAAUUUAAAUGUUGCUUUAUUUC